CAAUAGCGUAUAUUAAAGUUGUUGCAGUUAAAAAGCUCGUAGUUGGAUUUCUGAUCGAGACAUCAGGUCGGGUCCGAGAGGAUCAUGUACUUUGAUUUUGUUUUGAUCAUCCUUGGGGAGAGCAUUUCUGGCAUUCAGUUGUCGGGAUUGGGAUCCUCAUCGUUUACUGUGAAAAAAUUAGAGUGUUCAAAGCAGGCCUCGGCCUCUGAAUACAUUAGCAUGGAAUAAUAAGAUAGGACUUUGGUGGUCUAUUUUGUUGGUUUGCACGCCAAAGUAAUGAUUAAUAGGGAUAGUUGGGGGUAUUCGUAUUCAAUUGUCAGAGGUGAAAUUCUUGGAUUUAUGGAAGACGAACUACUGCGAAAGCAUUUAUCAAGGAUGUUUUCAUUAA
rnacentral:rRNA from 1 species